AGUUAUGGGAAGCACUUUUAGGAAUGGGUCCGAAACAUAUUUAGUUAGUCACGACAGUUACGAAGAAGAGUUGCAAACACCUGCAGAUCUCUUGGACAAUCCGCUCCAUAGCUCUUUUAAGUGUCGAAACAUAAUCUACCUCGAAUCUUGAUUUUUGUCGAGUUUGUGUUAUUUCCCUGAAGCCUCUCCGGUGGUAAAUGUCUUAUUGUUCGUUUUUAUAGCAAUACUAAUAAAUAACGUAACUAGCUGAUAAGGCAACAUUGCACUAUAUUUUUGAUUGUUUCUGUUUAUACUAUUUUGCACUAAAAUAUUGGUGAAGAUGCACACCACGCAGAAGGACACGACCUACACGAAGGUUUUUGUCGGGGGUCUUCCAUACCACACUACGGAUUCCAGUCUCAGGAAAUAUUUUGAAGUGUUUGGAGAAAUUGAAGAAGCAGUCGUGAUUACCGACCGACAGACCGGCAAGUCCAGGGGGUAUGGAUUCGUGACGAUGGCGGACCGCUCGGCUGCAGACAGGGCCUGUAAAGAUCCGAACCCCAUCAUCGACGGCAGGAAAGCCAACGUCAACCUGGCGUACCUGGGGGCCAAGCCACGGGUGAUGCAGCCAGGUUUCACUUUUGGUGUUCCACAAAUCCAUCCUGCCUUUAUCCAAAGGCCUUAUGGGUAAGUACUGAUGCUUCUUUGUGUGUGUUGAGGGGAUGGUUGGGUGUUGAUGAGUGAAAACCUAUAUGAAACCUCACUAGAGUUACCUCACUGAAUCUGUUACUUAUAAUAUAUUAGCAGUGAUGUCCCUCAUUUGGCGAAAGUCUAGCAUUGUUAAGACAUGUUCAUACAAUGACAUGUAUGUUUAUAUAAUCUGUUUAUGUAAUUGUUUUGUGCUUAGUCCUAUUUUUCGCCAUACUUGCAUGAUUACAGUGCAUGAUAAUUAUGUUGAGGGGAAAAAACUGUUUCACAAGUCCUCUUUCUUUUUAUCACUGACUACAAAGUUGACCACCAUAUCAGUGUAAGGUUUGUGUGAGUGAAAGAGAAAGUGUGUGUGUGUGUGUGUGUGUGUGUGUGUGUGUUAUGCGUUGAGUACAACUAAUGGAAAGUUAGAGCCUCAAUGACUCAAUGUUAUCUAUCUCUCUCUGGUCCGACAGGCUCGAUACAGGUUAACAUAACUGGUGGUUUCAGGAUUAUUUCUGUGGCCAUGUCACAGAUCAGACCAGGGAAUUACCUGUAAUUUCAAACGCACACAAACAAGCUCAAAUGGUGAUUAUAGAUGCAUGUACGUUGGUUUUAAUUUUGGUUUUGAGUUUUAAUUUAUUUAGAAUAGCAAUUAGAGCUUUGUGUGCUUUUUCUUUUACUGUUAUGAAGUGGUGUUCAUAGCUAAACCGUGUGCUGUCUAUUUAAUGACCGAAAAAAGCUGGUUGGAUGAUAUUUGGGGUGUUCUUUUCCGUUUUUGUGGAAGAGUGUUGACUUUGCCAGGGGGAGCAAAAAAAUAAAUGUAUUUGAUUUGAUGCUUUUGUGUUGUAGCUUGUGGUUUACUUUUUCUUUGGUAACAUUGUUCUGUGUGUUGUUGGAUGUGUUGUUGGACGUGAAGGACGGUGUUCUAUGUGUUGUUGGCGUGAGGGAUGGUGUUCUGUGUGUUGUUGGAUGUGUUGUUGGAUGUGUUGUUGGCGUGAGGGACGGUGUUCUAUGUGUUGUUGGAUAUGUUGGCGUGAGGGAUGGUGUUCUGUGUGUUGUUGGAUGUGUUGUUGGCGUGAGGGACGGUGUUCUGUGUGUUGUUGGAUGUGUUGUUGGCGUGAGGGACGGUGUUCUAUGUGUUGUUGGCGUGAGGAACGGUGUUCUAUGUGUUGUUGGAUGUGUUGUUGGCGUGAGGGACGGUGUUCUAUGUGUUGUUGGCGUGAGGGACGGUGUUCUAUGUGUUGGUCUAUGUGUUGUUGGCGUGAGGGACGGUGUUCUAUGUGUUGUUGGAUGUGUUGUUGGCGUGAGGAACGGUGUUCUAUGUGUUGUUGGCGUGAGGAACGGUGUUCUGGAUGGUGUUCUGUGUGUUGUUGGAUGUGUUGUUGGAUGUGUUGUUGGCGUGAGGGACGGUGUUCUAUGUGUUGUUGGAUGUGUUGUUGGUGUGAGGGAUGGUGUUCUAUGUGUUGUUGGAUGUGUUGUUGGCGUGAGGGAUGGUGUUCUGUGUGUUGUUGGAUGUGUUGUUGGAUGUGUUGUUGGCGUGAGGGACGGUGUUCUAUGUGUUGUUGGAUGUGUUGUUGGCGUGAGGGAUGGUGUUCUGUGUGUUGUUGGAUGUGUUGUUGGAUGUGUUGUUGGCGUGAGGGACGGUGUUCUGUGUGCUUUCUGAUUAUCCCCCUGUCACCCCUCCUCCAAACCCACCAAAACCAUCAACAGCUCACAGCUCAUUGCAAGACAUUUCUAGGACCUUCUUGGUGUUAUUAAUUCUCUUGCAUUAACACCUAACCUCUCAAACUCACCCAGAAUUGAGUAUUUCCCAGGAAUUGCAUAUUCUCUCUCUUUCUCUCUUUUUCUCAAGCCACCAAGGGCAUUUUCCGCAUGGUCUUUGUCUCUUCUAACUCUCAUCCUCUCUUAUUUUCUCUCCCUCUCUCAUCUAUCUAUCCGUAUAUGGUAUACUUCAUACUUCAGGGCCGACUCUCAGGAGAGCUGCUGUUUCUCAUUCAGAGAUGAUAAAGAGAGAACAGUGAGAGGUCCAUGACUAGACUGUAAAUUGACAGUAGUCACUAACCUUAUCCCUUACAGGACACUGGUGACAGAUGAGGGAAAGUCAUCCAAGGCUAGUAGUUUAGUUGAAGCAGACCACCUACUAACGUGUGUUUCUGUUACUGUGUUUGUGUGCAUAUGUCUGACCAUACUAUUGUAUGUGUGUGCAUACGUGUUCGCUUGUGUGUGUCCUUUCGUGUGUAGUCCAGUCCAGUGGUAGAGCAGUGCACCAGAGUCUCUACUAUGACACAAACAAAUGUCUGGAUGCCACAGCCUCUGAACAAGCUUUCAUCACAUGGGCAUGCAGCGUUAAGGAAAACAAGCUUCUCCAUUGUGCCUCACAAAGGCUGGAGUGCUGACGCUGCAGUCGCAUGAAGCCUGCACUGGUAGCGGGGUCUGGGGCUGGGCAGGGGGUCUGGGGCUCGCUCCGUCAUGAUGGGAUGGGACACUCUUUAAAAACAGCAGGCCCAACUCAUGGAGGCUGGAGGCCCCAGGGAGGUUUAAAGGGCCACAGACACAUCCAGACAGUGCCACCUAUGUGCCACCUGUGCUUUCCAACACAUGUAGAAGGCCCAAGGCUGCAGACAAAGGAUUUGUCCCAAAUGGCACCCUAUUCCCUGUAUAGAUCACUACUAGGGCCCUGAUGAAAAAAAGUGCAAUCUAUAUAGGGAAAAGGAUGCCAUUGGGACGCAGACAUAGAUGGGCACACCUGUGGGAGGGUAGCAACCAGCUCCAUGGCUAUCACACCACUAGGUAUGAGUCUCACCAAUGAUAUGAUCCCAACACAUGUAGGAGGCUUGAUAGAUAGGUAUAAAGCAGAGGAGGCUGGUGGGGAGGAGCUGUAGGAGGAAGGGCUCAUUGUAAUGGCGUGGAUGGUAUCAAUGGAACGGUAUCAAACAUAUGGAAAUCUAGUUUGACUCUGUUCCAUUGAUUCCAUUCCAGCCAUUACAAUGAGCCCAUCCUCAUAUAGCUCCUCCCACCAGCCUCCUCUGAUGGGUACUAGGUAAAUGGCAGUACGUACAGGUCUGGGAUCAGGCUACUGUUUGAGGCUGUAGCAACCAGAUCCAUUGUUAUUAUUAUAGCACCAUGUCGCCCCUCUACACUUCUCACAUUUAUCUGUAGCAUGACUGGCUGUUCCUCAGCUCCUAAUGCAACAGAAUCCCAAUGGUUGUAAUGUGUCGGAGAACAACAGGUGUGUACUCCUAAACCCCGCCACCCCUCCACUCUUCCCCCUCUCUGGUCGAAGAUGUCACCCAUCUGACAUGUGAUUGAAACAGACCUUUAUUUAGCCUUGAACUUUACCGACCGCAACGUUCCAGACAGAAAGAUAAUAUAUUUACACAGAGCAUUGAGAGACACAGUAACCCUAGUAUUUUUAACCUUGCUUGUGUCUCUAGGGAAACGAGGGCACUUAGAUGGGAGUCGGAGGGUAGCCAGUGCUUCCCAUGAGCAACACCGUUACGGAAGUGAAUCCAGGCAGAUGAGUGUAUUUGGUGUGUGUGUGUGUUUUGUUUGUUAGGUGACACAGCAUUUACCUAGAAGAAAAAGAAACGCACACCUAUUAAGGCGAGGUGCUGGCUAGCGGAGUAGAAAACUUGAAAAUAAGGGAGAGCCGCACACUCUAGGAGCUCAGAUGCAAAAAUGUAAUAUCCAACGUUUCGACAGACAAACUGUCUUCAUCAGGGACAGCAUUUACCAACAUAUAAGAGGUUUAUUCUGUUGGAGAUGGAGAAACAGGUUGUAGUAGUCUAAUGUUGAAUGAAAUUAUGAAGGGGAGAGGGAGAAGGACAAGAUAGAGGAAGUGAAUAAAGGUAGGGUGAGAUAUGAGCCCAGAUGAGUUCUAGGGGUGGGAACACACAGUAAGUCAUAUGUAGGAUGACAGGCAAGCAGAAAAUAGCUGGGGCCCAGCAUUCAGCCUCUCCUGUCAAUCAUACAUGAGGCCAGGCAACAAAGAGCAUGUCUGAGACCAGAUCCACAUUACAGGAAUGUCGUCAUGACUACUUAUGGAAACCGUACUUGUGUAGGACUUAUUGGCACUUUGCUAUAUAUUUAUGGAAAAAUAACAUUGGGAUGAAACUCUUGGGCAGUGAUUGCUUCAAACAGUCUAAUGCAGGCUAACAAUCAUGGGCCAUUUUAACGUCUCUGUCUUCUUCAUACUUUGGAUGCGUCCCAAAUGAUACCCAAUCCCCUGUAAAGUGCACUACUGUUUACCAGAUCCCUAUGGGCCGGUGGAAAGGGAACAGCGUGCCAUUUAGGAUGCAACCUUUAUUUCCAACAACAGCAGGUUUCUUGGGCUCCUGAGUGAUGCACCGGUCUAAGGCACUGCAUCUCAGGGCUAGAGGCAUCACUACAGACCCUGGUUCGAUUCCAGGCUCUAUCACAACCGGCCGUAAUUGGGAGUCCCACAGGCGAGGGUAUGGCCGGGAUAGGCCGUCAUUUUAAAUAAGAAUAUGUUCUUAACUGACUUGCCUAGUUAAAUAAAAUACAAAUAAAAUAUAAUUCACCAUCAUUUAAACAUACCACUUCAAUGCUGUCAUUUCAUUCUCUACAAUUGCAAAUAUAGUGCUAUUAAAAAGCAACUUUGUUGUGUGUUGUAACACUGCAUAACAUAUUUUAUAUGUGGUGUGAAAGAGCUUCUUUUUGUGCCGGUUUUCCUCAUACUGUAAGAAAUAAUAAUUUUUCAGAAAAAAAGAAACAGCAUUUCAAAAUACCUGUUUGAUCCAACUUUUGACACCAUGCUUCCAUCCUGAAUGGUACCUUAUUACCUGUAUAGUGCACUGCUUUUGACCCUGUGGGGAUGCAUCCCAUAUCUUAAUAUAGCUAGUAAUGGGGAGGCACAACAAUGGUCAACUUUGACAUGUGUUUUUUGGUGGACACUGCAUUUUGUUGUUUCGUUGUGAAACCAAUCUUUGCAUGCCUGUGCGUGUGUGUGUUUGAGAGUUUUUCUUUGUAGUGGCCCGUGUGUGUGUGUGUGUGUGUACACGUUUGUUAUGUCUGUGUACAUCCUGUGUGUGUGUGUUGCGUUUUGUUUUGCAUUGUCCAGCCUGUGUGUGUGUCUCCACCGUGUAUUGUGACUGUAACACUGUGCUGAGACAGCAGCGAGGCAUCUGCCAAGAAUGUGAUGUCAUAGGAGCGCCCCUGACCCCUGAGUGAUAGAGCUGCACUGGAUCUUUCCUUUUUCUUUCUUUUAAUGUAUCUAUUCUUUCCUUUUUGUUUCCUUCAGUGAGUGGUUGUGUUUGUGCUGUGUUGGUUAUCCAUGUGGACCGUUUAGAAUUGUUUUGUCUUUGACGUCUGUGCUUGUAGAAUUGCUGUUGUUUUUUCCUGUUUCCUCGUUGGGGCCAGUGUUUUGAGAUGUGAUUGGUUGGAUAGUGGAGUGCUGACAUUAGGGUUGCCACGAUAGAUCUUGUCUUUGGUUUCUCCAAUCCAGAUUCCAAACUCUAUGACUGUACUAAAGAUUCCUCUCUCCAUCUUGUUUCUUAUUGGCUUGAUUGAUGUCAGUAUUUAUUUGGUCCGAUCAAUUGUUAGGUUGUUUCUCAAGAGAUUAUAUUGACCUGUUGACAACAUCAUCACACCAUGCACAUCAUUCCAGACCAUUACAAAUCCACACCAGACCAUAACUCUUUGAAACCCAACACUGACAAAUGGUGGUAAGCCAAUAUAAAGUGAUUGUCAAUCAUUCUCAUAACACUGAUUUAGGUUACUCAGUCUUCUCUUACUGAAUCAUAAACUUGACUCCAAUUAACAGCAGUUUAGUAUUUUUGAGGAAUGUCAUUUGUGAUUUCCCUAUCAAGGUCAACGACUUGGGUUUCCUCCAGCAAAACAAUAGUUUAACUUUCGCAAACGACCAUCAUCACGCUUGCAGAUAGUGCUAGAGAGCCUAGUGAGCUGAGCCUCACGGCCGGGAUAUGUCAUGAAGGGCUGAAUGUGCUCAUUGUUCCUGAUUGCUUAUUUAAUGAAAAGGUCCCUCUGAGUGCAGCUAGCCUAGCGCCCGCCCGGGGCUCUUUGUCUAAGCACAGAGGGGGAAACAGCCAGCAGUGUCCUUUUUGAAAACUGUCCAGCUGUCAAAGUGGCAGUGACAUUUUCACAAUGCCCCCCUCAUCUCAUGUCCUCUCUUCCUCCCAGCGCUGCCUGUGAGCCUCCCUCCCUCCCUCUGUUCCCUAUCCCCUCCCAACUAGGACUGGCACCAGGGCCAAAUCCACAUGUGACCAUGCACACACAAACCAAGUUCUCUCUUCUCGCCAUCUCUGGAUUAUCUCUCCAUGACGGCAUCAAUGGGUCACUGAAAACCCAAAAUGUCUUCCUAUCCCUUAUCAGAGGACAAAACCCCUCUGAGCUUUGAACACCUCUCACCAACCCAUUUUUUAUCCCACAGAGAGAUCUCUAUUUUGGCAACCCUAUAUCUCUAAUAGCUACUUGCAGGCAUCUCCGUGGUGUUAUUGACUGGUGUAUUGAUGUGUUGGGGGGCGCUUGGCCGCAGUGUGGUUGGGUUGGUUGCGUUUGGUUCUGCUGUCAAACUUGGGGUUUGCUGCUGUCUGUCAGUGGCUGUGUAAGGCCAGGUCUGUGAUCUCUACCUCUAACUCCCUGUCUGUUUCUGUCCUGUAGGAUCCCUGCUCACUACGUGUACCCUCAGGCCUUCAUGCAGCCAAGCACCAUGGUCAUUCCCCAUGCCAUGCAGCCCAGCGCAGCCUCUGCCUCCACCGGCUCCUCACCGUACAUCGACUACACUGGAGCCGCCUACGCACAGUAUUCCGCCGCCGUGGCCGCUAGCGCUGCUGCAGCCUACGAGCAGUAUCCCUACGCUGCCUCCCCUGUGGCGGCCGGGUACAUAACUGCGGCCGGUUACGGCUACGUUCAGCAGCCCCUGCCUACGGCCGCACCGGGGUCAGCCGUCGCUGCAGCCGCAGCUUUCGGUCAGUACCAGCCUCAGCAGCUGCAAGCUGACCGCAUGCAAUAGCAGCCACUGCAGCCAUUGGACACGAGGGGAUGGGAGGCCCACGGCUGAUUGGCUGUGCAGAGGAAGGAGGAGGAGGAAGAGAGAGGGGCCGUGUUGUUAAGUGACGGAGUCGUUAAGAUGGUGGUGGUGAGGUGGGAGAUCCAUACAGUAGCUUCCCAACUUGCUGUGCUUAACCCCCCCCCCAAAAAAAAUUAGUAAACAUUACCAAUUCACAGAACAAAAUAAGGUGGAUUUAUCCUUAUGAUUAUUAUUGUUGUUAUUAAUAUAAUUAUUACUAUUAUUAUAAUUGUAGUAGAGUAUUUAUUUAUAGAAGAGAAAUGCAACGACUAAGCUUGGUGUAAAAUAUUACCUUAUGUUCCAUUGCUGUCAUUAACAUAGAAGAGAGAGAGCGUUCUCUUUACGGGACACUUACACGUGUUCUGAAGCCCUUAUAACAUAUAUUUAUUAUCACAUUUCGAGGACUCUUGUCGUUCUGUCUUUUCAAGUGCAUUGAAGUAAAUGUUGUGAUAAUCAGGGAAAUGGACCAGUUUCCAGUGUGUUAGUAAAGACAAUCUCUGCCUUCGUGGCUCGUGUCACGCAUUACGAACUACCUUUUAAUCUUCCUGAUGCUGAUUGUCCCUUUUUUGACUCUGUAUCUUGAUCUCUUGACCUAUGCAAAGCAAACAGUUCACCAGAAGACAAAAAAGCUGCAGGAAUAACCAAAAAUGCCAUCUACUCAUCAACUCUUCAAAGGGCAUCACAAACAAUAUGAAGGCAACUCCGAAAGAAAGGUUUUCAGACAAUGAGAAUCACCAAAUCAGUUACUCUCAAACACAUACAUUACGCACACACACACAGUUAUGUACAUAGUGGUAAAGGACAAAGGGCUCAGUCGUGUUCCCCUCUGGCUCUGUGCAAUGGGAUCUAGUCAGAGUGAAAGAGAGGGAGGGAGCAGCUGCGGGUGGGGAGGGGGGUGGGACAGUUAGCCCAGCGCCACACAGAUGGAUCACUCUGGAAAGAACGCAUCACUUGUGCUUAUUUGUUGAGCUGUCAAAUUUUAAUCCCUGGGCCCAUUUGGGAACUGGGCCCUCUGGCCUGCCUGUCUGUCUGCCUGCCCCUGUCAGCAUUUCCACCUCUGUCCUCUGUCCUAGAGCUGGCCGGCUGGGCUGGUGUCAGGUACAUACACUGCCCUCCUAUCCUAACCCUAACCAACCCCCCUAGGCCUGGUCCUGUAACCACUCCUUACAGCCUCACCAACCCCCUGACCCUUGCCCUGUACCCAUUCCUCUAAGUCUCACCAACUCCUCCUCUACCCAGACUACAUACCCCAACUCCGGGGCUCCUUUCUGAGGGUCUGGAAAGUGGUGGCAGUGGGGAAUGUAGAAAGGGGGUGGCGGGGCUGCAGGCGCUUGACAUGAAUCUGGGGGUUCUUCGUGUGCCUCACAUUUGUGUUGCUAUUUAAGAGAGUAAGAAAAGAGAUCUAUUUAAGAUAUUUAUUUUCAGAGUUGACUAUGUUCUAUGUGCUCUACGGACAAAGACUUAGUGGCGGUACUGAAUUACUAUUGUUAUGUAUUCAUCUCAAGGCAUAUAAGUUAUUGAGUAGAUUUAGUUGUAUUAUUAUUAUUAACAUACUCUACCAAAAAUGUUGAUUUAUUUAAGAUACAAUUCUGUAUGUGCACUGUACAAUUAUACUUUUUGCCUUUUUGAAAUCUUAGAACAUGACAUUAAAUAUUGGCUAGAUGAAUGCCUUUUGUAUGAAAUUUUAUUUAAAUGCAGGCAUACUUGCGUGCAGACUGUUAUUCUGCCUCUGUUUAGAACCGUUGGAAAAGACAAAAAAAUCCUGACAAAUGAGCAAAAUGCUGCUUUAUACAUUAGAAUGUAUAGUUAUUGUCAUGGUUUGGAUAGCUGUGCUUCUAUUGCUUUUAAUAUACAUCAGAUGGGCUAUUUUACACUUGGGAAUUUUUAUACUUGAACUAUUUCUUACAAGGGAAAAUAUGAAAAUAAAUGACAAAAAUACUUUUUAAGGAAGCUUUUCAUUGUCACUGGAUUAAGGCAUGUACAGUGUUAACCUUAUUUCAGAAUUUCAACACUAUUUACUCUAAAUUGAAAUAAAAGGUUCUAUAUUUAAUCAGAAUGUUUUUAUUUUUAUUUACUCAAGAUACAA
rnacentral:lncRNA from 1 species